rnacentral:SRP_RNA from 1 species
GCCUGGUGUGGUGGUGUGCGCCUGUAGUCCCAGCUACCCGGGAGGCUGAGGUGGGAGGAUCGCUUGAGCCCAGGAGUUCUGGGCUGUAGUGCGCUAUGCUGAUCCGAUGUCUGCACUACAUUCAGCAUCAGUAUGGUGACCUCCUGGGAGCGGGGGACCACUGGGUUGCUUAAGGAGGGGUGAACCAGCCUAGGUUGGAAACGUAGCAGGUCAAAACUCCCGUGUUGAUCAGUAGUGGGAUCACGCCUGUGAAUAGCCACUGCACUCCAGCCUGGGCAACAUAGCUAGACCCCGUUUCU